GACGAACGCUGGCGGCGUGCUUAACACAUGCAAGUCGAGCGAGGCCCACCUUUCGGGGUGGUGUCCUAGCGGCGAACGGGUGAGUAACACGUGGGCAACCUGCCCUCAGCUCUGGGAUAACUCCAAGAAAUUGGGGCUAAUACCGGAUAUGACUGCUGACCGCAUGGUCUGGUGGUGGAAAGAUUUAUCGGCUGGGGAUGGGCCCGCGGCCUAUCAGCUUGUUGGUGGGGUAGUGGCCUACCAAGGCGACGACGGGUAGCCGGCCUGAGAGGGUGACCGGCCACACUGGGACUGAGACACGGCCCAGACUCCUACGGGAGGCAGCAGUGGGGAAUAUUGCGCAAUGGGCGGAAGCCUGACGCAGCGACGCCGCGUGGGGAUGACGGCCUGGUGU
rnacentral:rRNA from 1 species